GCGUCGGUAGUGCAAUGAUUUAGCACGCGCCUUCUCGGAUAGGGUGAAAUCCGUGUUCAAAUCCCAGCUGACGCA